GAGAGGUUUGCAAAUUCAUAUAUAUAACAUCCAAGAUCUCCCUGCAGAUCUUAUUUUUACGCAUCAAUUGUGAUGUAGACCCAAUAAAGAAAAACCUUAAGAGAUGAGAAACAAAUUGUCAAAGGGAGAAACAAAUUCUCAAUUUUUUAUUAUUUUUAAUUGUCAAUCAUGAAAAAUACACUGCCAAAAUAACUAAAAGUCAUAGGUAUUUAUAGUAUAAUAUUAAUCGUACUAUUAUUGGGAUUAGAAAUCUCAAAAAUGAAAAUACUAAUUCAAUGCUGAUUAGGGAUACUAAAUAAACUUUAAGAAAAUAGUAAACCUAAUAUUCUUAAAGAAUAGAACUCUAAACUUCAUAAUUUUACGAUGAAAAAUUAAUUCAACAUAAUUCCUUAAUUGAGUCUUCUUGGACUGCAUUAGGCUGGAUUCAUGAUGGUGGCUCUUUUGGCAAGAUCCAGUACCAUGGGAAUUGAGAACCUAAUCUUAUGCCACAAACUGGUUGCCAAAUGAUUUCAAAUUUGGAUGGAUCUUGCCAUAAAGCAUGCCACUACCAAGUGAGAGAAAGAAAAUCCACCUGAACUAUUUCAAAAGAAAAUUGUAGGGGAUGGGGAGAUAAAGAAAUUUGCGUUACUUUUUAGGCUUUGGGGAGGAAAAAGUAGUGUUCACUUUCAUCAGUGAGGGAAGUGUGAUUUUGUGGUUAGCAACAUAAGGUUUAACUAUAUAAUUGGCUUGGCAUCUACAGAGGAUGGCCUUAAUAGCAUGGGAUAUUGAAAAAUUAACUAGCCUAAUGAGCUAAGAAGAAAACAGGAAUUUGCUAAAGCUAAUUGGUGGACAUCAAUGAGAAUAAGGAGAGUUCUUUGAAGUACACAUUAAGAUUGAAUUAGUUUUCAAUCAGAAACCUUGUUUCUGAUUGAUUGAUUCAUCCAUUUCCUUUAUGCUUUCUGCUUUGUGUGACAUUGAAAGAGAGGAGAAAAGAGAUGCGACCAAUGUUCUUGUAAUUUAACACACAUAAUUCAAUAACUGUGCCACAUUGGAUAACCUACUAAUACUUUUUUAAAUGCAGGCAGAUUGGAAUUAUUUUAUUUGAACCAUUACUUCAUGACCAAUGACUUCCACAAUUUUUCAGGCUGAUGCCCGAGUCUGCACUUACGGCCCCUAAGGAGAAGAAGCUUACAGGCAGACAGUGGUUUGAAAGUGGCGGAGCGGUAUGUUUCUCCUCUUGUUUGCUCCUGUAUUGUUAUUCCAAAUUAGGUGCAUAGUAUACUGCUCUCCAGAAAUCAACUUCGAAUUGCUAGUAAUCUUGAGUAAUGUAAUGGUUGCACUGUUACUUGGUUGUAGCGUUCAUACCUUUCCAUUAUUAGAACCUUUGUUAGACAUUUUCCAUUUGCAUGAUUUGAGAGUAUAAGCAAAUAUAUAAUGCAGUCAUAUGAUGAAAUUAUGAAUAGAACAUCAUAAUGAAAAAUCAAUUCUUGACAUCAUCAGUCUGUAAAUUACUCAGCUGGGCUUGCUAUUCACCAGUUUGAGAUUUACUCUAAUUUAUGGUAGCUUCCAUAUUCUGAAGUUCUAAACUCAUGUAAAGAAGGAUGAUUCUUUAUGGUGCCAAUCCUGGUGGUCUAAAUUAUGGCAGAGUCCAUAAGAUCAAAUCAUUUGUAAAUUUCCCACUUUCUUGCAAAUAACUUUAAUGCAUUUUGUGAGCACAAUUUCAGAAAGGAGCAGCCCCAAUUAAAGAAGGAUCUGAUGAGGAAGAUGAGGAGGACAUCGACUUUGAUGAUGAUGAUUUUGAAGAUGAUGAAGAAGAUAUGCUUGAGCACUAUCUGGCCGAGAAAUCUGACUCAUCUUGCCAUUCUUCAAGGCGAGCCAACUAAAUGGAAAUGGAUGGUAUUGGGCUCCUAUAUAGAGUACCCAUUGCAUGGCAAAUAUACCAGUUUUUGUUGUUAUCAAAAUAUAGCAGUUUUUGUUGGGACUGUUGGAUAUUGUACUUUUUUCCCUGCUCUUUCUGGAGUGGAGAGGGAAAUGUAGAUUAGUGGUUACAUUUUUCUUUUAUUAUUAGAAAGUGCAAUUGGAAAUUUGUACUCAUGAGGAGAAGAAAUAUAUUUAGAACUUGGAGAAUUUCUUCAGUGCAUUUGCUACAUAAUGCUUCAAGGAGAAAGAAAGCCAACACCAAAAGUGGCUUCCUCAAAUGUCCAAGUUUGAAGGGCAAAAAGAGCUGUUACACCGAUAUGUGUGCAAUAUAUUCUUAUUGUUAGUUCAUAUAAAAUGAACUUGAUUAACAUAAUUGUUUUCUGUAUAAAAGUAGACGGAACAUUGAUUGAAGAGCAACAUGAAAAGGUAGACGUCAGUUUGCUGGCUAACCCUUUAAAUGCAAUUCAUGGUGACUGCCAAGUACCAACCUUACCAUUGCAUAAUCAGCAUCAUUUAGAAUGAAAUGAAAAUAAACAGAACAUUUA
rnacentral:misc_RNA from 1 species